AUUUAUUAUCAUUAUAAUUCCACAAUUGUUAAGAAACUUUUAAAAUAAAAUAAAAUUAAAAGAUGGGUGGAUAUGGAUAUGGAUUUAGAUAUUAAGAUAGAUCCAGACCUACUCUAGAUCCGCCUUAGAUCCGCACAUUGAUAUCCAAAUCUGAUCCGAUUGAAUUUAGAUCACGUGGAUCUUGGGUAAGAUCUAAUCCAUUGUCAUCCCUAGGUUGUACCUCAUAACUUUGCACAUGACGAGCUCUAAUUAGAUGGUUGUGGGCCCCACAAAAAUCUCCCACGCAACUUCACGCAUUAGAACACUGUUCCAAGUUAACAUAAAUACAGAGCUACAACCUACAAGUACUCAUCGCAGUAUUGUUUGCAACAGAUUUUGGGGUCAAUGAAUAAAAAACUACAAAACCAAUCCAAGAGCAAUAAAUUUAUAUUUUUGUCGGGGAGCGGGGUACCUCGCUUGUUCGGCACGUGCGGGCUGUUUAGGUUUUUUGUGGAUGGGAGGAGGAUUGUGAUGACGGUGGAUAUGGAGGGGGUCUGACUUUAGGUGCGGAGGGCUGGUGAAACUCGCCUUAAACCUGCGAAACAACCAAAAAAGAGGUCAGAGGUGGAGCCGGGGGUGGCCGGUGACCACACUUCGACGCUCAAGUCAGAGUUGGAUUAUCUCAGGUUAGAGAGCUUGCAAGCUCUCGGUAAUGGAGGUUUUGAGGUUGAAGAAAUCCUCGUUUUUCGUGGUGAGUCUGUUCACUCACUUGAUAAAAAUCAAACCUGAGUAUUUAUAUGGUGUACCCCGGUCGCCGUGCCACCUGGCGCUAUUUUAGUGGCGUUCCCUGCUGUCAUGUCAGGAAUAUUCUUAUUUUCAUGCGUAUGACAGCUUAGACGUUUCAAAAAUAUGCGUGGAGAGCAAGUUUGUGGCGUAUUCACGUGCUGGGCGUAGUGAAGUGGUCCUGCAUACCUCUGCAAUUUCGUUGUAAUUUUACAGGCGUAGCAAGAAAAGCUGGUGCUCCCAACAGUCACAAUAUCAAACUUUUGGCGAAUUUACUGGCGUGACAGGCGGUUGUCUCCUCUUUUGCGACACGAGAUUUUCUCAUCGAUUCCUUAUUUUUUGACACUUUUUCAGCCGAUCUUUUUGAGAUUUGGAGCCCAUAUAUCUCUUGAUAUUUUACGAAAAUUUUUCCUCACCUUUUUGUCCUUGCUCGUUGUACCCCAGGUAUCGAGUUUUGUGGGGUAGGUCGGGUACCACGGGUACUGAGUUUAUAGUGUAGGUCGAGUAUCUCGAGUACCGAACUAAUGGUGUCGGUCGAGUAUCUCGAGUACCGAGCUAAUGGUGUCGGUCGAGUAUCUCGAGUACCGAGCUAAUGGUGUCGGUCGAGUACCUCGGGUACCGAGUUUAUAGUUUAGGCCGGGUAUCUCGAGCACUGAGUUUAUAGUAUAGGUCGGGUACCUCGAGUAUUGAGUUUAUAGUGUAGGUCGGGUAUCUCGGGUACUGAGUUCAUAAUGUAGGUCGGGUAUCUCGAGUACCGAGUUUAUAGUGUAGGUCUGGUAUCUCGAGUAUCCCGGGUAUCGAAUUUUAUGGGGUAGGUUGGGUACCCCGGAGGAUAAUUAAUAAUUACAUAACCUUUGCAUCAACACGUGGCGCUUCAUUUUCAAUACUCUAUUUAUCCCCAAACAACAUCCUCCUAAUUUCUUUUUGGUGAAUGUAAUUGAGGUAAAAUAAACUCAUAGAAGAAUUGUGAACGACACGUGGCGAUGUUCAACUCUUCCUCUCAUUGGAUUGGAUAAAAAGAGGUACCUCGUCUACCACCCUUUGGUUGACUAUGUGAAUUCCCAACAUUAGAGAAUAUCUUGACAUUUUUUAUCUUCUUUCUUUCUCCUUUAUUAUUAUUAUUUUUCGUUUUAGCCCAAUGAACGGAGGCUCCUUGAAUGGCUCGGGUACCACUCCUUCAAUGAGGUGUACUCAGUCUCUUCACUUUUUGGGGUGUGAACUAGUUCAUCCAAAAACUCAAAUAUUAUUUCCUCUCUUACUCAGUAAAAGUGCUUGUGUAAAUGGACCAAGCUGGAAAAUAGCAGCUCCAGGGGGCACACCGAGAACCCCAAAAAGAAAGAUGGACUCCCUCUUCUCUAUGCCUUAUAAAUAGCUAUUAAAUUUGGAUAAGUUGGAGAGGGCGGAGCUGAUUGAUCAAAAUUUUUCAUUUGCUUAUGGGGACGAACCACCAAGUAUGUGUAGAGGGUGAUGUAGGGGCACCCCACCAUCACCCAUAUUUUGUUUUCUAGUAAUUGGCAAGUAUAGAUCGCUCCGGUGAGUACUUCAAUGCCUUUCUUGGCCGCAUGACGAGCUCUAAUUAGAUGGUUGUGGGCCCCACAAUAAAACUCCCGCGCAACUUCACGCAUUAGAACACUGUUCCAAGUUAACAUAAAUACAUAGCUACAACCUACAAGUACUCAUCGCAUGUAUAACAUGUGUGUCUAGCAUAGCCUUAAUGUGUCUUAUCAACUCCAUCCAUAACAUGUAUGUCCAGCAUAGCCUUAAUGUGUCUUAUCAACUCCAUCGAUGAUGAAUGGAAAGCUUACUCACAUAGUCACAUAGCUUUCAUCCCUUUGGGAAUGAUGUUGAUA
rnacentral:lncRNA from 1 species